rnacentral:rRNA from 1 species
GACGGGUGAGUAACACGUAAGUAACCUACCCCAGAGACAGGGAUAACCCUAGGAAACGAGGGCUAAUACCGGAUGACCUCCGGAAGGAGGAAAGGCUGAGGCGCUCUGGGAGGGGCUUGCGGCCCAUCAGCUAGUUGGUAGGGUAACGGCCUACCAAGGCGAAGACGGGUAGGGGGUGUGAGAGCACGGCCCCCCACAAUGGGACUGAAACACGGCCCAUACUCCUACGGGAGGCAGCAGCAGGGAAUAUUGCACAAUAGGCGGAAGCCUGAUGCAGCGACGCCGCGUGAGUGAAGAAGGCCUUCGGGUCGUAAAGCUCUUUUGUAGGGGAAGAGGAAGGACGGUACCCUAAGAAGAAGCGUCGGCUAACUACGUGCCAGCAGCCGCGGUAAGACGUAGGACGCGAGCGUUAUCCGGAAUUACUGGGCGUAAAGGGCCAGCAGGCGGCUUGGUAAGUUGUGCGUGAAAGCCUCGUGCUCAACGCGAGGAAGCCGGACAAUACUGUCAAGCUAGAGGGCAUCAGAGGGGAGUGGAAUUCCCGGAGUAGCGGUAAAAUGCGCAGAUAUCGGGAGGAACACCGAUGGCGAAGGCAGCUCCCUGGGAUGCACCUGACGCUAAGAGGCGAAAGCUAGGGGAGCGAACAGGAUUAGAGACCCUGGUAGUCCUAGCUGUAAACGCUGGGUGCUAGGUGUGGGACGUAGAAGUUCCGUGCCGGAGCAAACGCGAUAAGCACCCCGCCUGGGAAUUACGGUCGCAAGGCUAAAACUCAAACGAGUUGACGGGGCCCCGCACAAGCAGCGGAGCGUGUGGUUCAAUUCGAUGCUACACGAAGAACCUUACCUGGGUUUGACAUGUACGUGGUACGAGGGCGAAAGCCUAAGGACCCUUCGGGGAGCGUACACAGGUGCUGCAUGGCUGUCGUCAGCUCGUGCCGUGAGGUGUCGGGUUAAGUCCCCGUAACGAGCGCAACCCUUGCCCUUAGUUACAAGUGUCUAAGGGGACUGCCGGCGGGAAGCCGGAGGAAGGUGGGGACGACGUCAAGUCAGCAUGGCCCUUAUGUCCAGGGCUACACACACGCUACAAUGGUCAGUACAAAGAGUAGGGAAGUCUCGAGGCGGAGCGAAUC